AAAAACAUGUCUUUUUGAGUUAAUUUAAAGUCUAAUCUGCCCACUGAUUUUAAUAUUGAAGGGCUGCAGUAAUUUGACUGUACAAAGGUAGCAUAAUCAUUAGUCUUUUAAUUGAAGACUUGUAUGAAUGAUUUGAUGAAAUAUAAACUGUCUCUAAUUUAUAAAUAAAACUUAAUUUUUUAGUUAAAAAGCUAAAAUAUUUUUAAAAGACGAGAAGACCCUAUAGAGUUUUAUAAUUUUUAAUUUAAAAUAUUUAUAUAAAAUUUUAAUAUUAUAUAUUAAAAAUUAUUUUGUUGGGGUGAUAAAAAAAUAAAUAAAACUUUUUUUCUUAUUUAACAAAAAUAAAUGAAUAAAUGAUCCAUAUUAAUGAUUAAAAGAAAAAAUUACCUUAGGGAUAACAGCGUAAUAUUUUUUUUUAGUACAAAUAAAAAAAAAAGUUUGCGACCUCGAUGUUGGAUUAAGAUAAAAUUUAAAUGCAAAAG
rnacentral:rRNA from 1 species